rnacentral:rRNA from 1 species
GAUGAACGCUAGCGGCAGGCCUAAUACAUGCAAGUCGUACGGCAACACAGUUGCGAGCAAUCGCAACCGGUGGCGAGUGGCGCACGGGUGAGUAACGCGUAUGUAACCUACCCUUCUCCGGGACAUAACUCCGCGAAAGCGGUGCUAAUAUCCCAUACCAACUCAUCAAGACAUCUUCUUGAGUUGAAAGCAGCAAUGCGGUGAAGGAUGGGCAUGCGUCCCAUUAGCUGGUUGGUGAGGUAAUGGCCCACCAAGGCUACGAUGGGUAGGGGUUCUGAGAGGAAAGCCCCCCACACCGGUACUGAGACACGGACCAGACUCCUACGGGAGGCAGCAGUAAGGAAUAUUGGGCAAUGGUCGAAAGACUGACCCAGCCAUGCCGCGUGCAGGAUGAAGGCCCUAUGGGUUGUAAACUGCUUUUAGCCGGGAAUAAACACCCGUUUUAUAACGGGCCCGAAGGUACCGGCUGAAUAAGCAUCGGCUAACUCCGUG